rnacentral:rRNA from 1 species
AAUACUAGAGUUUGAUCCUGGCUCAGGAUGAACGCUGGCGGCGUGCCUAAUACAUGCAAGUCGAGCGAACAGACGAGGAGCUUGCUCCUCUGACGUUAGCGGCGGACGGGUGAGUAACACGUGGAUAACCUACCUAUACGACUGGGAUAACUUCGGGAAACCGGAGCUAAUACCGGAUAAUAUAUUGAACCGCAUGGUUCAAUAGUGAAAGACGGUUUUGCUGUCACUUAUAGAUGGAUCCGCGCCGCAUUAGCUAGUUGGUAAGGUAACGGCUUACCAAGGCAACGAUGCGUAGCCGACCUGAGAGGGUGAUCGGCCACACUGGAACUGAGACACGGUCCAGACUCCUACGGGAGGCAGCAGUAGGGAAUCUUCCGCAAUGGGCGAAAGCCUGACGGAGCAACGCCGCGUGAGUGAUGAAGGUCUUCGGAUCGUAAAACUCUGUUAUUAGGGAAGAACAAAUGUGUAAGUAACUAUGCACGUCUUGACGGUACCUAAUCAGAAAGCCACGGCUAACUACGUGCCAGCAGCCGCGGUAAUACGUAGGUGGCAAGCGUUAUCCGGAAUUAUUGGGCGUAAAGCGCGCGUAGGCGGUUUUUUAAGUCUGAUGUGAAAGCCCACGGCUCAACCGUGGAGGGUCAUUGGAAACUGGAAAACUUGAGUGCAGAAGAGGAAAGUGGAAUUCCAUGUGUAGCGGUGAAAUGCGCAGAGAUAUGGAGGAACACCAGUGGCGAAUGCGACUUUCUGGUCUGUAACUGACGCUGAUGUGCGAAAGCGUGGGGAUCAAACAGGAUUAGAUACCCUGGUAGUCCACGCCGUAAACGAUGAGUGCUAAGUGUUACGGGGUUUCCGCCCUCUUAAUGCUGCAGCUACGCAUUAAGCCCUCCGCU